CAUGAUGCUUUUGCCAUCCCUGAGAUUAAGAGUUAUGUCCUGGUCAUUUCGUAAGGACUCUGCCCCAGAAAGUCAGUUUUGCAUGAUCCAGAGCUGCAGUCUGAGCGCCGUUGCACUCCCUCCUUCUGCUACCGCUGCCCUUGUCUGCUGUCACCACUCCCUGACACUUGUCAGUUGAGAAUAGAAAAAAAAUCAGAU